rnacentral:rRNA from 1 species
GACGAACGCUGGCGGCGUGCCUAAUACAUGCAAGUAGAACGCACAGUUUAUACCGUAGCUUGCUACACCAUAAACUGUGAGUUGCGAACGGGUGAGUAACGCGUAGGUAACCUGCCUGGUAGCGGGGGAUAACUAUUGGAAACGAUAGCUAAUACCGCAUAAUAUUGAUUAUUCCAUGAUAAUUGAUUGAAAGAUGCUAUUGCAUCACUACCAGAUGGACCUGCGUUGUAUUAGCUAGUAGGUGAGGUAACGGCUCACCUAGGCGACGAUACAUAGCCGACCUGAGAGGGUGAUCGGCCACACUGGGACUGAGACACGGCCCAGACUCCUACGGGAGGCAGCAGUAGGGAAUCUUCGGCAAUGGACGAAAGUCUGACCGAGCAACGCCGCGUGAGUGAAGAAGGUUUUCGGAUCGUAAAGCUCUGUUGUAAGAGAAGAACGGGUGUGAGAGUGGAAAGUUCACACUGUGACGGUAUCUUACCAGAAAGGGACGGCUAACUACGUG